ensembl:lncRNA
GUGUAUAGGUCAGGACCUAUGUACCUGAGUGUAUAUAGGUCAGGACCUAUGUACCUGAGUGUAUAUAGGUCAGGACCUAUGUACCUGUGUGUAUAGUCCCUAGGUCAGGACCUAUAUACCUGUGUGUGUAUAGGUCAGGAUCUAUGUGUGUAUAUAGUCCCCAGGUCAUGGGUGAAGAUGGAGUGAAGUGUGUUUGAUUACUUAAAAAAAAGAAAAAAAUAAUAACUGAUUGAAAUAAUGUAAACACACAAAGGCACACUAAGACAAAAGGAUACACACUUAUUGGACUUUUGGAAGCUGUGAAUCGAUUCAGAAUCAUAGAAGCUAAGAAUCCCAAUUCAUACGUGAAUGUUUUUUUUCUACACUCAAACGACAAGCUUUCAACACAUUAGCUCUCCUGUAUUAUAUCCAUGCCAUACAUGGAAGCUUUCAGACACAGGGAGGAGAGGAAAAUAAAUACACAUUUGCGCACGAGCAGACAAAAUGAGAAAAUUAGGUUAUGCAUGUAAAAUCGCUGAUUAUAAAUAUUCCAUUUUCACAAGCAGCUCAUCACACUUACUCACAAAAAAAGAGAAAUAUCAAUGCAUUUAUUAACCAGCAACAGCUGAUCCUCUUGUGUUUCCACCAGCGAUGACAACUUACAGUGAACGUAGGAGGACAGGGAACGUGACAGAGGCAUCCCCUCGCAGCCCAAGCCCUCUGUCAAGGGCGGUUGAUGAUUCGUGUUACAACGGCUAACCGCUUGAUUUCCCAUUGAUUCCCUAAGCUUCCCUGUCAGUGAGCAACAGGAGAUGUAACUUAUUAGAUGAGCUUUGGCUGGGAAUCCAAGUGUGAAAUGCAGGGAAAAUAAAGAAAAUCUGCUGGCGCUGCAUUUUUAUUUAAUUAUGAACUGAUUGAAGAAAUCACUUAAGAGGUUGACCCCUAUGCUGCCUGAUCCCCUACACAAAUGCCCCCCUCCGCCAAACAUCUUACAGGG